UACGUAGGGUGCAAGCGUUAAUCGGAAUUACUGGGCGUAAAGCGUACGCAGGCGGUGAUGUAAGACAGAUGUGAAAUCCCCGGGCUCAACCUGGGAACUGCAUUUGUGACUGCAUCGCUGGAGUGCGGCAGAGGGGGAUGGAAUUCCACGUGUAGCAGUGAAAUGCGUAGAGAUGUGGAGGAAUACCGAUGGCGAAGGCAGCCCCCUGGGAUAACACUGACGCUCAUGCACGAAAGCGUGGGGAGCAAACAGG
rnacentral:rRNA from 1 species